UUCUACUAAACACCGCAGACGAAAAUUGUUUCCAUUAUCUGUUAAUUAGUCAACUCAAUAUGCUAACUAUUAUACUAACUACUAGCAUGUUUUUUUUUGUGUACAUAUUUACUUCAUUAUCCUAAUAAUUAUGUCGAUGUUUCAUGGACUACCCCUGAAUUUGCCUUGACGUUCGGUAUUUUUGUAAUCUCAUGUCUGUAUGUCUCUAUAAGUUGAUCUUUGU
rnacentral:lncRNA from 1 species